GUAGGUGAACCUGCGGAAGGAUCAUUAACAGGGUCACUGGGCGCCCCGGCGCCCAAAAACCAACCCUUUGCCUCCCGCCCGUCCUUUGGCGCGAAAGGGGGCCCGGCCGCGAGGCGGGGUCCCCGCCGAAAUCAACCCUGAACCACCUUGCAGCCUGAAGUUAAAAAGCAAACAGUUAAAACUUUCAACAACGGAUCUCUUGGUUCUG
rnacentral:misc_RNA from 1 species